rnacentral:rRNA from 1 species
AACGAACGCUGGCGGCAUGCCUAACACAUGCAAGUCGAACGAGACCUCCGGGUCCAGUGUCGCACCGGUUCGUAAAGCGUGGGAAACUGCCCUUAAGCUCGGACUAACUCCCCGAAAGGGGUGCUAAUACCGGGAAAUAUCUUCCGUCCAAAGGUUUAGCGCCAUUGGGUGGGCGCGCGUUGGCUUAGCUGGUUGGUAGGGUAAAAGGCUACCACGGCGACGAGCCGUACAUGGUUAGAGAGGCUGGGCCGCGACACUGGUACGGGGCCACGGCCCGGACUCUUAGGGGAGGCAGCAGUGGGGGAUCUAGGACAAUGGGCGGAAGGAUGAUGCAGCAAUGCUGCGUAAGUGAUGAAGGCCGUAGGGUUGUACUGCUGUUUUACCCGGGAGGGGGAUGACGGUACCGGGAGAAUAAGCACCGGCUAACUACGUG